AUUGUUUUGAAUCUGAGUGAAUUGUGCUUGGUGGAAGUUGAGGAGGAAUGAAAACCACCUUUACAAAUACAGGUGUUGUCUUGAAAGCUGGACCUGGAGUUUGUGCUGGGACUCUGAAGCCAAAUUCAGAAGGGAGGAAAAUUGAAUUUGGCUCCGGCUUAGACUUGGAUCCUUCUUCCUUGGCUUUCCAUUGAUGCCAUGUGUAAAUAUGCCAAGAGUUUGGACACCAGCCUUUUUGCCUGCAGGAGUUCACGGGCAGAAGCUGAGGAUUUAGCUCUUUACUCCUGGCUUUCUGAAGCUGGCUCAGCUUGACCGGAAAAAAUUACCCCGAGGRACUGUGCUGUAAAAUCACACACAAUUACUGUUAGCCCCAACCACAUGAAACGAGUACGUGUCCAAUUUACAGCACGUGUGCUAUGGCUUGGGCUUUUACAGAGAUCACAAAUGCAAUUUGGGAUAACUCUGCCCUUGUGAAUUGCUAAUUGGAGGUAAAGAGGAAGAGGAAGCCUCCGUGGAUGAGCCUUCUUCCCGUUUGUAGACAGACUUGAACGAUCGUAUUUUGACCAGAAAAGCAUCUCAACUGAUGAGCUCUGACUUUGCCUUCCAUCACCAGACAAAGAAACACCCCAGGCCAUGAAGAGCUCUCCACAUGUCCACAAGAAGCCCUCGAGCAAGCAGCGAAACUGCAAAAUCCCCAGAUUUUGCAGYUCUUUCCAAGUGUGCACCUAAGCAGAGGAGGGGAUUAUGAGUCUGGUUUUAGGGAGGUGGAUUAUCACAGCAUGGACAGGAAAGAUGGGCAUGAGCCCCUAGGAGCACCCGGAUGACCCACUGGGCACAUCAGGAGUGGCAGCACUCGGRGCAAUGUCUGAAGACCCGACGUCAUCCCCUGCAUUCAUUUGGGAUGUGUUUGUUCAGCGUUGGCCUUUUCCACAGAUUUUUGGCAACCUGUCAUAACCUGACCCUCCUUUUGACUGGUUGCCAGCCCUCUAAAACAAUUCAAAGCCUAAUGAAAUUAAAGCAAACAGAGGAAAAUCAGUAAUAAAUGGUGUAAUGUUUUCCAACAGGUAUAAGGGAAAAUGCUGUACCCAGCGCACAAAUUUGUCUCUGUCAUUUUAGCAGAAAUGCUCUCUGAGGGAGCUGCUGCUUGGACACUGCCAACUCYGAAAAUAUUCCAACAGUUAUCAGGACGCGACAUUUCUGUGGAUUUACUUACAUUUUCCUGCUAACGCUGCAUAAAACCUUGGCCCGUUGAUGAAGAAAGUUAAAGGAGAGAGUGUUCAAAUAUUUAAUAAUGGGUGAAUAAUAAAAUAGUAGAAGCUUUAAUAAUGAUACUUAAAAAUAGAUGAAUUAAUUGAGGAUACAGCACUACCUGCAGCAAAUAGGGUCCCAUCAUGUGCUCAGGGUGGUUCUGAUAGGGAGCCCAUUUCCAAGCCCAUYGCUCACAAAGCAGCCAUGAGCAGAAGGUAUCAUCCAGCCACAAAGGUCAUGUCUAGAAUUAUUUAUUUUGUGAUGUUAUUGGAUUUAUUCAGGAGUAGGGAAAYGGGUGGAAGUUGUCACAGCUCUGCACAAACAGUGACCAAGGGGCAGCUACACACGUGCAAGCUCCAGGAGCAACCCAGCUCUUUGUUUGGGGAUGAGACCCUGCUGUCCAAGGGACAUUUGGUUAAUCAGCCAUAGCUUUUAAAAAUAAACGAUUAUUCUUUUGUUUCUUAACACAAACAUGUACUGAGUAUGUUGCCCGUUUCAACUCGAAAUCACUGCGAAAGCCGAAGUAUCUGCAGUUCUUUCU